UGCUGAUUUUAACUUUUCAUUUUUUAUUUUCAUUAUUGAGUGAAUAACGCUACUUAUCUACGCAAUUUUGGGACAAUCCUUGUAUAACAUUGUGAGUUAGUUUUUGAUAUUAAUAAGAAAUAUUAUGUGAACAACCCUGUUAGCGUUGCAAAGUUUUACAAACCCGAGAGUCAAAUGUCAUGACUUAUCUUAUGGCUGUAUGCUUACAAAUUACAAACAGUGUCUAUUUGUCCGUUUGUUUGUCUACAUGUAAAUGUACCUGUCUCUCUCUCUCUCUCUCUCUCUCUCUCUCUCUCUCUCUCUGAUAUAAAAGUGUGUGACAUAAAGUAACAUCUCUUCCGUUUACCAAAACACAUGAAUAAAAUGAGAGAGAGAGAGAGAGAGAGAGAGAGAGAGAGAGAGAGAGAGAGAGAGAGAGAGAGAGAGAGAGAGACUUUGAUAGAUCGUAAAGCCUGUUACAUAUCGAAAGAAGACACGUCUGUUGUUCAUUGGGAAAUAAAUCUAGACUGAGUGGUCUAAGGUGCGGCCUAAUUAGUGUAGAACGGUUGCCGUGGAGCCAUGCUGUGUCGUUUUUGUAUUAGAAUAAACAGGUCGGUCCGCGCUAUAGAAUUGUGUCAGAUGUUUACAAGCUUUGCAUUUCGAGGAUGCAAACAACGUAUUUGAUUACUGCAUGUAAACCAUGGAUGAAGAGGAGAAAAAUCAUAAGUCAAAGAAGACUCUUACAAAGCCUCCUCUGUUAUGUGCCGUGUUUUUCUCGAACACCACGUAAAAGGCUACACGCUCAGACUCGGAAGUUGCUGAGAUCAUAAUCCUACGUUUGAAUCAGAUGUCACAAUCUUAUUCAAGCGCCUGUUAAUGAAUCUACUGGCUGAAAGGAUCCAUUCAAAAGCAUUACCGGAGGGUCCAUAUUUUCUUAUGCACAUGAGGAUGUCAAUGCAUGAUCCAGCAACGAGGCUAAAAAACUGAGGAGUAAAUGAUGCCGAAACGUUCGAUGAUCCCAUUGAGCUACUUCUUAACGUCAACAUGAUUAUUAAUUUAAUUAUUACAUUAACACCCUGAUGCAAAAAAGUAUGUGUGAAUUAAGAAAAUUUCCUCGUCCACUUCACUACAGGAUUACAAACAACGAUUAGAUAGUGAAAACGUUCUAGAUAAGGAUGGAUGACUCUCCUACAUGUAACAAGAAACCCAAAGGAGGUAAACAAACAUGGUUUAAGUGCCGAAAAAUUCGUAGCAUAAGAGGAAUACCAAAACUUUUCCCAUUACCUUUAACGGCAUUUUUGAAGAAAGAAGUUUAAUCCACUUGACUGAUUUGAAAUGGUCAAUAAGUUGUCAUAUUGAUUACUACAAAUCAUCUGUGAAAAAAACUAAGCUAUAUAAGAACAGUAAGAAACAAUGCUGUGAAUAGAUAGAGACAUUUUUUUCGCACAAGAAGGAAAUAUGUCAAAUGUUUUCUAAAUAGUCAACUCUUCAUGAAAAAGAGAAAAUACGUGCAGACACAAUACAAAACGUGAUCAUGGAUGAUGAAAAAGUUACAAGUAAACCCUUUGUUUAAAGCAAGUAAUAAAAUGUUUCACUACUGUAAUUCUAAAAUACUUCAUGAUAUUUCAAUAUUCUUUGAAAUUUCUUUCUACACGUCUUUCUCUUUUUUUGAUGGCAAAAGGCAAUUAUGAGUUAUGAUGAUAUGUUGAUCUUUCUGGUGGAUUCACCAACUUUCUGAUCUUUUAUGUAAACUGAACAUAGCAUUCAUAUUGGUGGGCCCACCAAUUAUGUAUUCAAUAGCAGCAAUAAACUAAUUGUUACCGGCAGGGGGUUUCUUUGGUGAAUCCACCAACUUUGUAAUAUGUUUUUUAAUAAUUCGUAUAACUUGAUAUGUGGUGGAUCCACCAAGUAGGGGUAUUUUGAAUUUUGUCAAUCUUUUUGGUGGCUUCACCAACUUUCUUGUUUUGUAUAUAAACUGACAUGUGUUGCGGUGUUUUUGUUUAUUGAGUGCCAUCGAUGAAUGUUUAGAAACUUUUGGUGAAUGCACCAAUUUUGUACUCUAUAUUUGUUUGUUUAAUUCAUUUUGGUGGAUCCACCAAAUAUUUGGAUAAUGAAAGUCUGUAUUUAGGUGGAAUCACCAAUUAAGGUUUCUUUAAAACUGAAAUGUUUGAUAACAUGUGUUGCUCUCAUUGCUUUGUUGGUGGGUUCACCAAAUCUUUGAGUGAUAUACAAAACUGUAUGCGGACAAAUUCACAAUUGAAUUUUGGUGGAACCACCAGGGCACUGUGUGAAUGAGAUAUUUGAUGCUGUUUAAAAAAAUAGAACCGCCAAUAUUUUAUCAUUGGUGGACCCACCAAGUUUAUUUGUAAGUGAGAUAUUCGAUGAAAUAAGUUGGUGGAGUCACCAAUAUUUUGACUGUUAUUGUGGAAUAUGAAGGUUUAAAGGUACUGUAAAAUGUGCUUUUGUGUGAAAAAGAUGGUGGGUUCACCAAUUUAUGUUGUGUUCAACAACAAAAAUGAAUAAAAUUUAUGUUCAUUUCUGUUA